rnacentral:piRNA from 1 species
UCAGCUGCUGAGAAUGUCUAG